rnacentral:rRNA from 1 species
CGAACGGGUGAGUAACGCGUGAGGAACCUGCCUCAAAGAGGGGGACAACAGUUGGAAACGACUGCUAAUACCGCAUAAGUCCACGGUGCCGCAUGGCACAGAGGGAAAAGGAGCAAUCCGCUUUGAGAUGGCCUCGCGUCCGAUUAGCUAGUUGGUGAGGUAACGGCCCACCAAGGCAACGAUCGGUAGCCGGACUGAGAGGUUGAACGGCCACAUUGGGACUGAGACACGGCCCAGACUCCUACGGGAGGCAGCAUG